rnacentral:rRNA from 1 species
AUGUCAGCCGCCGCGGUAAUACGGAGGGUGCGAGCGUUAAUCGGAAUUACUGGGCGUAAAGCGCGCGUAGGUGGCUUGUUAAGUCGGUUGUGAAAGCCCCGGGCUUAACCUGGGAAUUGCAGUCGAUACUGGCAAGCUAGAGUGUAGUAGAGGGAAGCGGAAUUCCAGGUGUAGCGGCGAAAUGCGUAGAUAUCUGGAGGAACACCAGUGGCGAAGGCGGCUUCCUGGACUAACACUGACACUGAGGUGCGAAAGCGUGGGUAGCAAACAGGAUUAGAUACCCUGGUAGUCCACGCCCUAAACGAUGAGAACUAGCCGUUGGAGGAACUAUAAUCCUUUAGUGGCGCAGCCAACGCGUUAAGUUCUCCGCCUGGGGAGUACGGCCGCAAGGUUAAAACUUAAAGGAAUUGACGGGG